rnacentral:rRNA from 1 species
AUGAGAAAGCGCAACUGGGCAGGCAAUCCUAAAUGCUCUUUUUGUGAUAAUGUGGAGACCUCACAGCAUCUUUUCUUUACGUGCCCUGUGGCUCGGGUGGUAUGGAGGACGGUUGGAUGUGUGCUGGGCACAUCUUUAUGUCCAAAUAACAUUUGGCAAUACUAUUCCUGGUGUUAUAUUUUCCUUCCUGAUGGAACUAAACUUUACACCUCUGGUUUGGCAACGGUUUGUUGGGCGAUAUGGAACAAUCGUAACCAAGCUACUUUUGAACAUAAAAACCUCAAAAGCCCUUUUAAUGUGGUGUAUGUUGCUUGUGGUUUUUUUAUGUACUGGGCAGGUUUGAUGGCCGGCGAUGAUCGGGAGGCCAUGGAGCGCGGAGCCAAGAUGCUCAGGUCCAGUGCUUCGAUGAUGAUGAGAAUCUGCGCGGCUCCAACCAACUCAGCUUCGAACUGA